AUCAAAAUAGCUCAGUUAGGAGAGCAUUGGACUAUAGAUCGAAAGGGCCCUGGUUGGAUCCCGGAUUCCGACA
rnacentral:tRNA from 1 species